CUUCAACCAUGGGAAAGAACUGAAAAUGGCAGCCAUGGAUGAGCUCCAUUCAGCCAAGCUUCUAUGGCUUAUAUAGAUGAUGAAAAUUGAGACUUGGACCUAGAACGGAAAGAAAUCGAUUUAUGGACGAGUAUGUCCUUUUCACAUUUGUGGUAUCGAGAGUUCCAGGUUAGCUCGGGUUGGAGGUCGUCGGAGAUAUUAUCACCCUAUCGAGUUAACGUUAUCCCAGUAAGUAAACUCAAGUGAUUCGAGUCUAUGGCAUGUAUAGGGUUUUAAUGUGAGUAUGUAAUAUUAUGAUUUAGCCAAAGGCAUUGGCUUGUUAUUAAGGUAGUAUUAGUCAUGUAAAUUGGCCUAUGUCGGCUAAUGACGUUAUGGGCCCAUAUGAUUAUUCUUAUGCAUUUAUGUUAUUAUUUCUUGUGAUGUGGCUUACAACAUGUAUGCCUAGAGAUUGAAUUGAGAUUCAUUGAUGAGCUAGUAACUAAUGCAGGAUUAAGUGAUUGGUAAAUAGUUAAUAA